URCGUUUUUGCUCUCUAUGGGUGGAAGACAGGCAUGCAAACCGGAUAAAAUCCGCUGUUGUGGCGACUGCAGAAAGGAAAUGAGCCCGGCGAGCCGGAUCACGUGACCGGCGGCUUUUGCUUCCCGGCACAUCUUUCCCGGGAGCAGUGGCCCCGGUGUGGGACAGGGGGCCAAGCGGGCGAGAGGCGCCGGCUCCGGGUCCUGCGGGCCGGCCGUGCCGGAGCAGCGAUCCGCGCGGCAGGAGCGAAGAGCAAACCCCAGGGGAACGAACACUGGCUGAAGGAAGCAAUUGCUAAACGCUGAGAAAACUGGGCUGGAAGCGACUUCGGAAAGUCACCCGGUCCUGGUCCCUCCCAGCAAGCUGAGCCCCAGCAAAACGACGGCGCUAAUCUCGAUGAUUUAAAGCUUCACCUGGUUAAACCUACUUCACGCCUGUAGCUGCAGCACGUCGUGGACUCUGUUACCCGGCGCUGUCUGCAAACGCCCCUUUGGUAAGCGCUGAAGCCCGGGGCAGGGGACGGUUGGUGCCCGCGAGAGGGGCAGCCUGCCCAGCUGUCCUGCGUUUCGCCAGCCCGUCUCGGGUAGCUGAGAA
rnacentral:lncRNA from 1 species